UGGGGGAUAUUGCGCAAUGGGGGAAACCCUGACGCAGCAACGCCGCGUGAAGGAUGAAGGUCUUCGGAUUGUAAACUUUUGUCCUUGGGGAAGAAUAAAUGACGGUACCCAAGGAGGAAGCUCCGGCUAACUACGUGCCAGCAGCCGCGGUAAUACGUAGGGAGCAAGCGUUGUCCGGAUUUACUGGGUGUAAAGGGCGUGUAGGCGGGUAGGUAAGUUAGAUGUGAAAUUUAUGGGCUCAACCCAUAACCUGCAUUUAAAACUGCCAAUCUUGAGUGUCGGAGAGGAAAGCGGAAUUCCUAGUGUAGCGGUGAAAUGCGUAGAUAUUAGGAGGAACACCAGUGGCGAAGGCGGCUUUCUGGACGAUAACUGACGCUGAGGCGCGAAAGUGUGGGGAGCAAACA
rnacentral:rRNA from 1 species